rnacentral:tRNA from 3 species
GAGCGCGUAGCUCAGCCGGUAGAGCAUCUGACUUUUAAUCAGAGGGUCCAGGGUUCGAGUCCCUGCGCGCUCACCA